UUGCUUUGGCAGCACAUAUACUAAAGUUGGAAUGAUACAGAGAAGAUUAGCAUGGCCCUUGAGCAAGGAUGACCUGUAAAUUCAUGAAGCCUUCCAUAUUAAG
rnacentral:snRNA from 1 species